CAGCAUGUGGUGAAUCCAGUCAGGAAAAUGCUGAAUCCUGUUUACUGGAGGACCUUUGCUUUGCUGAGCACCUUGAUGGAAAUGAUCAUGAAAACUGUGGUAGCAGGUAGCAGGUAAGACAUAAUUUAAUUAUUCUGCAAAGCACAUGGUACAGCAGGUGAAAUUAUGUUGGGAAAAUCCCGGAGGGGUAGAAAUGAGCUAGUAAGGAAGUAUAGGAAGAAAAAUCAUAUAUACCUGUUCUAAGCUUGACCAAGAAGAAACUUUAAAAAACAAAAACAUAUGAAACAAAUUUUAUAUUGUUUUCUCUAUGUAAGUGAUCACUGGGUGUAGUAGUCAGGGACGCAGGGGAAUUUAGGGAUGUGAUAUAAAUUCUCUCUCCUAGCUCCUCUACAAAAUUUUUAAUAAAGUUCACACUUCUUAACAAGGCUUUUAUGCAAGUAAAGUCACUUGGUGAAAACUGAGACUGUACAUAGGAUGAAUAAAGAAGAGUUGCCUAUUGGGAAUAAGAAAUUAUUUUUUUAAAUAUAAUCCUCGUAUUUAAAAAAUGAUAUGUGAGAAUUUUAUAUGUAUAUUCAUGUGGGUUAUGUGUAUGUGUGUGUGUGUGUGUGUGUGUGUGUGUGUGUGGAGAUAGAUGGGUGAGAGAGAUUGAGAUUGAGAUUGGAAGUACAUGCACAAAACAUAUUAAGAGUGAUUACCUUUAAGGGGUAGGUUUAUGUAAUAUUAAUUUUUCCUUAGUUAAUCUGCAUAUUCUACUGUUUGUGCAAUGAAAUAUUUUUCUUUUAAAUCAGAAAAAAAUCCACAAAUUGGCUAGAGGCAUUAUAUUAAUGUUAACAUAAAAAUGGCUUUCUUGUCUUUCUUUCUUCUGUAUAAAUACCUUCAGCAUGCAUAUUAAAAACAUUUAAAGAGCCAUGGAACUAAGAGUGCAUUAACUUCAUCAUGACAUAUUUUGAGCAUUCUUAUUCUUUUUCAGAUAUGGCAGUGUUUAAAUCGUCCAUGCUAAAAUAACGUAUUUUUCUUUAAACAGUAAUUGACAAGAAAUUUCUCUUAAUUUUCCUAGCAUAAUUAUGGUUAGAUUGCAAAAAGAUAAGACAGAUAUUUGCUUUUGCUAUGGUUUGAAGGUGUUUUCUCCAAAAUUCAUGUUGAAAUUUAAUCCUCAUUGUGGUAGUAUUAAGAGGUGGUGUCUUUUUGAAAAUGUUAACCAUGAGGACUCUGCCAUCAUGAAUGGAUCAGUGCUUCAUAAAAGGGCUGGUGGAAACUAGCUUAGUCGCUUUUUGUCCUUCCAUUUCUUCUGCCAUAUGAGGACUGAGUGUUUGUCCCCUCUGGAGGCUGCAGCAACAAGGCAACAUCUUGAAAGCAGAGAACUUUCUUCAUCAGACACCAAACCUGCUGGCACAUUGAUCUCGGACUUUCUGGCCUCUGGAACUGUUAGAAACUAAAUUUCUGUUCUUUAUAAAUUACCUAGUCUCAAGCAUUUUGUUAUAGGCAUCAUAAAUGGACUAAGACAGCCUUCAUCUGGGGCAAAUAACCAUUUGAAUUCUCUCAAGUCUGGCAUAGUAGAAAUAAAUACCACAUAAGUAGAACCUCUAAAGGAGUGCUUCUCAAUUAUCUGCAAUGAAAA
rnacentral:lncRNA from 1 species